rnacentral:rRNA from 1 species
GGAGUUUGGGCCGUGUCUCAGUCCCAAUGUGGCCGAUCACUCUCUCAAGUCGGCUACUGAUCGUUGCCUUGGUAGGCCGUUACCCUGCCAACUAGCUAAUCAGACGCGGGGCCAUCCCAUUCCACCGGAGUUUUUCACACCGUACCAUGCGGUACUGUGUGCUUAUGCGGUAUUAACAGUCGUUUCCAACUGGUAUCCCCCGGAAUGGGGCAGGUUCCCCACGCGUUACUCACCCGUCCGCCACUCGGUUAAUACUGCUUCCAUCCGAAAACUUCCGCUGUAAUAACCUCGUUCGACUUGCAUGUGUUAAGCACGCCGCCAGCGUUCAUC